rnacentral:hammerhead_ribozyme from 1 species
GCGCUUCUGAUGAGCCCCAUAAUAGGACGAAACGGCCGUCCAGUGC